GCCCUGUUACAAAUUGUUCUUUGGCUAUGCCCCAUGUUUGUGCAAUGGCUCAGACCGGUUUUUCCUCUUUUCUCAGCUUCAAAACGGCUUGCUUUUCUCCCAUAGACAGCUCUCUGGUCUUCAUGUCGGUUUAUUCUUUUUAACAACAAAUGCUGUCUCCACAGGUGAAACCCAGGGCUCAAACCAAGAGAAGACAUUCAGAGCUAUUCAUUCUUUAAAGUCCAUUUAACAAGUUUCCUUCUGCUUCUGAGUUCAAAGAGCUUUUUCUCAUCCCCAUCCUGGAUCGCCCCUACAGCUGCCUGUUUGGUACAUUCCUCUACAGCAGUGAGCAGGAGAGAAUGGAAAAGGAAGUACAGGGUAAAACGGUCACUGUGGUCCUACGUUAACAGUCAGCCGGAGGACUUCACUAACCCGUUCUAUGUGGACUGUAAAAACCAGGUGCUGUAUCCACUGGCCAGUCUCACACAUCUGGAGCUCUGGGUGGGUUAUUAUGUGCGCUGGAACCCACGCAUGAGACCACAGGUGCUUAUACUGCAAACCACACUCUAUGAAAUUCUGGGGAAAUGCUCAAAAAUAGUGUUUCCAAUAUAUACCAAAAUACCUAGUUACUUGUAUAACUGAACAGUGUCACUUCAGACACAUGAUGAAUGUCACUUUUUAUUACUAGAUAUUUCUGGGUUUUAAUUUCCAAGUUUGCUUUAAAAACACAAAACCAUUUCUAUCAGCACAAAGCUAAAAACACAAAAGCUGGAGUAAUGGGUCGGUAAGCAUAAAAAGUGCCGUACACAGUGGAACUGGACACACGAGGAACUCUGACACUGUUGACUCUUCAGUGGUUCCAUUUUCUGUUCUAGUUUGUAGGUACAGGUUUCAGUCUUCAACAACAUUGUAGUUUUCUUUUUAAAAUGCACUCCUUGGUUGUGCUCACUGCAUUACAAACUCAAAUCCAACAUUGUGAGAUUAUUUUUUUUAAGUGUGUAGAAAUGGAGUUUUCUUGUGAUUCCUCUAUAUUCCUGUAUAUUUCAUGAUUGGCUGGUUAGAAAACUACAUGAACGUACAGGUGUUCCUAAUAAAGUGGACGGUGAGUGAACAUGACGUGGCUGAAACGAUUUCCAAAACACUUCAGGAGCAGCUAGCGAUAAAGAUUAAGAUGCCGCUCCAUCAGAAUUUGAGAGAGUUACUGUUUUUUGCGUGAAGAACGUGGAGGAGCUCCAGAGAGAGGCCACGUCAUCCUGCUCCAUCUCCUCAUCCUCAGAGCAUACUUCUCCCUCCUCACAUAGUGGUACACCACUUCACACUGCCGUCUAAACACACACACACACACACACAUUUAAGAGCACACACUGUCUUUACUCAAUGAAUACACUCUCAGGCACAAGUAGGGAGUGGAUGAGUAUGAAGCGGACACACACACACACACACACAUUCCUGUUUGCAAUUUUUUUUAACUAUAGAGAAGUAACCUAGUGUCACAUUUUAUAAAUCCUUAAUACUUAAAAAUGGAUCUUGGAAUGAUAGUCAGCAUGUCUGCAGCAUGAACUCAUAGUAUUUACGAUCUAGUAUUUGACCUGUAAAUAUGUAAAAAAGAGAAGUAUUCAUAUAUUUGUCCUUACACGUCAUGUUCAUCUUUCCCUGUGGCCUCAUUUGCUCCUCU